rnacentral:rRNA from 1 species
UACGGAGGGUGCAAGCGUUGCUCGGAAUCACUGGGCGUAAAGGGUGCGUAGGCGGCCGUGCAAGUCUGGCGUGAAAGCCCCGGGCUCAGCCCGGGAAGUGCGCUCGAAACUGCGCGGCUCGAGUGCCGGAGGGGAGAGUGGAAUUCCUGGUGUAGCGGUGAAAUGCGUAGAUAUCAGGAGGAAUACCGGUGGCGAAAGCGACUCUCUGGACGGCAACUGACGCUGAGGCACGAAAGCGUGGGGAGCAAACAGG